CACCGGAGCUUGCUCCACCGAAAGAAAAAGAGUGGCGAACGGGUGAGUAACACGUGGGUAACCUGCCCAUCAGAAGGGGAUAACACUUGGAAACAGGUGCUAAUACCGUAUAACACUAUUUUCCGCAUGGAAGAAAGUUGAAAGGCGCUUUUGCGUCACUGAUGGAUGGACCCGCGGUGCAUUAGCUAGUUGGUGAGGUAACGGCUCACCAAGGCAACGAUGCAUAGCCGACCUGAGAGGGUGAUCGGCCACACUGGGACUGAGACACGGCCCAGACUCCUACGGGAGGCAGCAGUAGGGAAUCUUCGGCAAUGGACGAAAGUCUGACCGAGCAACGCCGCGUGAGUGAAGAAGGUUUUCGGAUCGUAAAACUCUGUUGUUAGAGAAGAACAAGGAUGAGAGUAAAACGUUCAUCCCUUGACGGUAUCUAACCAGAAAGCCACGGCUAACUACGUGCCAGCAGCCGCGGUAAUACGUAGGUGGCAAGCGUUGUCCGGAUUUAUUGGGCGUAAAGCGAGCGCAGGCGGUUUCUUAAGUCUGAUGUGAAAGCCCCCGGCUCAACCGGGGAGGGUCAUUGGAAACUGGGAGAC
rnacentral:rRNA from 1 species